CAACUACUCCCUCUAUCCCAAAUUUCUUGUCUUAGAUUUGUCUAGAUACGGAUGUAUCUAAUACUAAAAUGUGACUUGAUACAUCCGUAUCUAGACAAAUCUAAGACAAGAAUUUUGGGACGGAGGGAAUACUUU
rnacentral:pre_miRNA from 1 species